UACGUAGGGUCCGAGCGUUGUCCGGAAUUACUGGGCGUAAAGAGCUCGUAGGUGGUUUGUCGCGUUGUUCGUGAAAACUCACAGCUCAACUGUGGGCGUGCGGGCGAUACGGGGCAGACUGGAGUACUGCAGGGGAGACUGGAAUUCCUGGUGUAGCGGUGGAAUGCGCAGAUAUCAGGAGGAACACCGGUGGCGAAGGCGGGUCUCUGGGCAGUAACUGACGCUGAGGAGCGAAAGCGUGGGGAGCGAACAGG
rnacentral:rRNA from 1 species